AUACUAACCUGGCACAGAAGAUACCGCGAUCAAGAAGGCGGUUCUUCCAGGACGAGAUCUAACCAUUGUACUGAGGUUGGAUUGAACACUGCGAUUACCCAAAAUGAGGGUAACUCGGGUGCAUAAUUUAUGUGUGUGUGGAAAUGCGUUCGCGCUUUUCCUCC
rnacentral:snRNA from 1 species